UCCAGACUCCUACGGGAGGCAGCAGUGGGGGAUAUUGCACAAUGGGGGAAACCCUGAUGCAGCGACGCCGCGUGAGUGAAGAAGUAUUUCGGUAUGUAAAGCUCUAUCAGCAGGGAAGAAAAAAGACGGUACCUGACUAAGAAGCCCCGGCUAACUACGUGCCAGCAGCCGCGGUAAUACGUAGGGGGCAAGCGUUAUCCGGAUUUACUGGGUGUAAAGGGAGCGUAGACGGCAAUACAAGUCGGAAGUGAAAUACCCGGGCUCAACCUGGGAACUGCUUUGGAAACUGUAUGGCUGGAGUGCUGGAGAGGUAAGCGGAAUUCCUAGUGUAGCGGUGAAAUGCGUAGAUAUUAGGAGGAACACCAGUGGCGAAGGCGGCUUACUGGACAGUAACUGACGUUGAGGCUCGAAAGCGUGGGGAGCAAACAGGAUUAGAUACCCCUGUAAUA
rnacentral:rRNA from 1 species